rnacentral:rRNA from 1 species
GGACUACCGGGGUAUCUAAUCCUGUUUGCUCCCCACGCUUUCGCGCCUCAGCGUCAGUAUUGGCCCAGAAAGUCGCCUUCGCCUCUGGUGUUCUUCCUAAUAUCUACGAAUUUCACCUCUACACUAGGAAUUCCACUUUCCUCUACCAAUCUCUAGCUAACCAGUAUUAAACGCAGUUCCUGGGUUAAGCCCAGGGAUUUCACGCCUAACUUGAUUUGCCGCCUACGCGCCCUUUACGCCCAGUAAUUCCGAACAACGCUAGCCCCCUCCGUCUUACCGCGGCGGCUGGCAC